GGUCAGAUGGCCGAGUGGUUAUGGCGCUGCGUUCAGGUUACCUGAAUUCAAAAUCGCAGUGGAGCAAUCCGCGUGGGUUCGAGUCCCACUCUGAUCA
rnacentral:tRNA from 1 species